rnacentral:rRNA from 1 species
GAGGAAGCUUGCUUCCUUGAGACCGGCGCACGGGUGCGUAACGCGUAUGCAAUCUACCUUAUACAGGGGGAUAGCCCAGAGAAAUUUGGAUUAAUACCCCAUAGUAUAAUUGAAUGGCAUCAUUUAAUUAUUAAAGUUCCAACGGUAUAAGAUGAGCAUGCGUCCCAUCAGCUAGUUGGUGUGGUAACGGCACACCAAGGCGACGAUGGUAGGGGUCCUGAGAGGGAGAUCCCCCACACUGGUACUGAGACACGGACCAGACUCCUACGGGAGGCAGCAGUGAGGAAUAUUGGUCAAUGGGCGCAAGCCUGAACCAGCCAUGCCGCGUGCAGGAUGACGGUCCUAUGGAUUGUAAACUGCUUUUGUACAGGAAGAAACACUCCCUCGUGAGGGAGCUUGACGGUACUGUAAGAAUAAGGAUCGGCUAACUCCGUG